GCAUGUAGCUCAGUGGUAGAGCAUUUGCCUAACAUGUGCAAGACCCUAGGUUCACCCCCUAGCACUGCA
rnacentral:tRNA from 1 species